ACGAAACAGAAGGGGAUUCCCUUCUUCUCGGUGUUUGAUGGUGUGGAAGGCGACCAAAGACCCUAGGAUUAGAAGUGGAUGUCCUCACUGACUUGUACUGAGUUGGAACAGAGGGUGUACAUAAAUGUAGGACCAGUGUUCAAGGUGUAUACCACGAAGUGGUGGAGAUCAAGGUGAAUGGUCGAGAAAGGAUGAGGGAGUGUCAGAAAGGGUACCAGAGCUCUUAGUCGUGACAUGCUGUAAUCACUGUAACUGAACUUUAAAUAUACCAUUUUUGAUAACGUGGUAACAAGGCAACUUAAAAUAUUUUAAUCAGUUAUUCUAUACCACAAUCAUAUCCUACUAACCAUACUCUUUUUUUUUUUACAUUUACACUCUGGAUGUAUUGUCAGUAGGGUUUCAGAAUCUGCCUGUAAGAUCUCCCACUAUCCUAUAAUGUCUGUGUGACAGGACUCAGUUCACUGAACAUGCUACAGAAGUGACAUCAACCCUCUGAAAUCUGAGACAUGACCCAAAGCCUGCCUGUGGAAAAUUGGUCUGAAUGGAAAAAGCAGACGCUCACACACAAAUAUUUCAUGGAAUGGAA